GACGAACGCUGGCGGCGUGCUUAACACAUGCAAGUCGAACGGAAAGGCCCUGCUUUUGUGGGGUGCUCGAGUGGCGAACGGGUGAGUAACACGUGAGUAACCUGCCCUUGACUUUGGGAUAACUUCAGGAAACUGGGGCUAAUACCGGAUAGGAGCUCCUGCUGCAUGGUGGGGGUUGGAAAGUUUCGGCGGUUGGGGAUGGACUCGCGGCUUAUCAGCUUGUUGGUGGGGUAGUGGCUUACCAAGGCUUUGACGGGUAGCCGGCCUGAGAGGGUGACCGGCCACAUUGGGACUGAGAUACGGCCCAGACUCCUACGGGAGGCAGCAGUGGGGAAUAUUGCACAAUGGGCGGAAGCCUGAUGCAGCAACGCCGCGUGCGGGAUGACGGCCUUCGGGUUGUAAACCGCUUUCGCCUGUGACGAAGCGUGAGUGACGGUAAUGGGUAAAGAAGCACCGGCUAACUACGUGCCAGCAGCCGCGGUGAUACGUAGGGUGCGAGCGUUGUCCGGAUUUAUUGGGCGUAAAGGGCUCGUAGGUGGUUGAUCGCGUCGGAAGUGUAAUCUUGGGGCUUAACCCUGAGCGUGCUUUCGAUACGGGUUGACUUGAGGAAGGUAGGGGAGAAUGGAAUUCCUGGUGGAGCGGUGGAAUGCGCAGAUAUCAGGAGGAACACCAGUGGCGAAGGCGGUUCUCUGGGCCUUUCCUGACGCUGAGGAGCGAAAGCGUGGGGAGCGAACAGGCUUAGAUACCCUGGUAGUCCACGCUGUAAACGGUGGGUACUAGGUGUGGGGUCCAUUCCACGGGUUCCGUGCCGUAGCUAACGCUUUAAGUACCCCGCCUGGGGAGUACGGCCGCAAGGCUAAAACUCAAAGGAAUUGACGGGGCCCCGCACAAGCGGCGGAGCAUGCGGAUUAAUUCGAUGCAACGCGUAGAACCUUACCUGGGUUUGACAUGGAUCGGGAGUGCUCAGAGAUGGGUGUGCCUCUUUUGGGGUCGGUUCACAGGUGGUGCAUGCCUGUCGUCAGCUCGUGUCGUGAGAUGUUGGGUUAAGUCCCGCAACGAGCGCAACCCUUGUUCACUGUUGCCAGCACGUUAUGGUGGGGACUCAGUGGAGACCGCCGGGGUCAACUCGGAGGAAGGUGGGGAUGACGUCAAGUCAUCAUGCCCCUUAUGUCCAGGGCUUCACGCAUGCUACAAUGGCUGGUACAGAGAGUGGCGAGCCUGUGAGGGUGAGCGAAUCUCGGAAAGCCGGUCUCAGUUCGGAUUGGGGUCUGCAACUCGACCUCAUGAAGUCGGAGUCGCUAGUGAUCGCAGAUCAGCAACGCUGCGGUGAAUAAGUUCCCGGGGCU
rnacentral:rRNA from 1 species